rnacentral:rRNA from 1 species
GACCUACGGGAGGCUGCAGUGGGGAAUAUUGGGCAAUGGGGGCAACCCUGACCCAGCAACGCCGCGUGAAGGAAGAAGGCUUUCGGGUUGUAAACUUCUUUGACGAGGGACGAAAAAAAUGACGGUACCUCGAAAACAAGCCACGGCUAACUACGUGCCAGCAGCAGCGGUAAUACGUAGGUGGCAAGCGUUGUCCGGAUUUACUGGGUGGAAAGGGCGCGUAGGCGGGGAUACAAGUCAGAUGUGAAAUCUGGGGGCUUAACCCUCAAACUGCAUUUGAAACUGUAUUUCUUGAGUAUCAGAGAGGCAGGCGGAAUUCCUAGUGUAGCGGUGAAAUGCGUAGAUAUUAGGAGGAACACCAGUGGCGAAGGCGGCCUGCUGGACGACAACUGACGCUGAGGCGCGAAAGCGUGGGGAGCAAACCGGAUUAGAUACCCCGGUAGUC